CCGGUGGCGGUUCUUGUGGUGCUUGCCGCUUGCCUUUGCGGUGUGCUUCUCCCGGUGGCUUGUAGGGACCAUCUAAAUUACAGACCAAUCAUUGGUAAGCCAUUCGAGAUCCAUCUAGGGUGAAUGGGGGUCCUGGCCCAGGAGAACAUAGUGGGAGACCCUCAUGCUCAGGGAUCCUGCUACAUCGCUGCUUCCUAUGUAAAGUACCUGGAGAGUGCUGGAGCCAGGGUUGUCCCCAUAAG